CCUACGGGUGGCUGCAGUGGGGAAUAUUGGACAAUGGGGGGAACCCUGAUCCAGCCAUGCCGCGUGUGUGAAGAAGGCCCUCGGGUUGUAAAGCACUUUCAGUGAGGAAGAACGCCUGGUGGUUAAUACCCAACAGGAAAGACAUCACUCACAGAAGAAGCACCGGCUAACUCCGUGCCAGCAGCCGCGGUAAUACGGAGGGUGCGAGCGUUAAUCGGAAUUACUGGGCGUAAAGCGCGCGUAGGUGGCUUGAUAAGCCGGUUGUGAAAGCCCCGGGCUCAACCUGGGAACGGCAUCCGGAACUGUCAAGCUAGAGUGCAGGAGAGGAAGGUAGAAUUCCCGGUGUAGCGGUGAAAUGCGUAGAGAUCGGGAGGAAUACCAGUGGCGAAGGCGGCCUUCUGGACUGACACUGACACUGAGGUGCGAAAGCGUGGGUAGCAAACAGGAUUAGAUACCCGAGUAGUC
rnacentral:rRNA from 1 species